rnacentral:tRNA from 2 species
GCUCGCGUAGCUCAGUUGGUUAGAGCGUCGUACUAAUAAUGCGAAGGUCGUAGGUUCAAUCCCUGCCGUGAGCA